rnacentral:miRNA from 1 species
UUUCGACAAGACACAAUGCAUAAA